rnacentral:lncRNA from 1 species
GGAGCAAUCUCAAGGCACUUAAACCAGCCUUAAAAUCUUUAAACACUAAAUAUUUUAAGAACAUUACUCGAAAGAUUGAUUGUAGCAGACAGGAGCUGAAGGACAUCCAAAACCAAAUGAUACUAGCCUACACUGAUGAAUUGCCACUUAAAGAGAAGGAAACAAUAUUGAAGCUGGAAAAGUGGUCAUUAAUUGCGGAAGAAAUGCUACAACAGAAGUCCAGGGAUAAAUGGAUACAACUGGGGGAUUAAAACAACAAAUAUUUCUCUGUUGUCUUGAAGGAAAGGAAUCAACACAAGAGUAUUACUGAACUGGUGUCAGCAGUGGGGUCCAAAAUUACCAAUCCUGAUGCUAUUAAAAAGGAGAUCAUUGAUUUCUAUAAGUCCUUAAUGGGUACAACAGCUGCUUCUCUUCCAGCUAUUAAUCAACUGUAUAUGACCAAUGGUCCUAUGCUAACAUAUCAACAGAAGAAAGACCUAGUUGCUAAGAUCAUUGAUUCUGAGAUUCUGGAUAGUCAGAAGGUAAUAGGUGAUCACAAAGCCCCGGNNNNNNNNNNNNNNNNNNNNNNNNNNNNNNNNNNNNNNNNNNNNNNNNNNNNNNNNNNNNNNNNNNNNNNNNNNNUGCUAACAUAUCAACAGAAGAAAGACUUAGUUGCUGAGAUCACUGAUUCUGAGAUUCUGGAUAGUCUGAAGGUAAUAGGUGAUGACAAAGCCCCGAUAACUGAUGGGUAUAAUGCACUGUUCUUCAAGAAGACUUGGAGUAUCACUGGCAAAUAGAUCACUGAUGCAGUCAAGAAUUUUUUCCAGACCAACAGGAUGUACAGACCAGUUAACUGUGCUUCCCUUACCUGAGCCUUUUAAAGCAGCUAAAGGCCUUAGACAAGGUGACCCAAUCUCUCCAUUUCUCUUUGCUAUUGUAAUGGAAUACCUAAGCAGAUUUUUGGCUGAAUUGAAGAAAGACCAAGACUUUAUAUUCCAUCCAGGAUGUAAGAAACUGGGCAUCACUCAUAUCAGCUUUGCUGAUGACCUACUGUUGUUUGCUAAAGGUGAGAAGUAAUCUGUACUUACCAUGUUCAAAUACUUCUCUCAAUUUACUGAAGCUUCUGGGCUUAAAGCCAAUCUGACCAAAAGUUCAGUCUACUUUGGAGGGGUAAAAACUGAAAUCCAGCAACAAAUAACUGACCAUCUAGGCUAGGUAUAUGGAGAGUUCCCCUUCAGAUAUUUAGGUAUAUCUCUAUCUACAAAGAAGAUGACUGUGAUCCAAUGGCAACCACUGGUGGAUAGAAUUACUGCUAGAAUCACAUCUUGGACUGUCAGGAAACUAUCGUGUGCUGGAAGACUUCAAUUGGUCCAAUCUGUGGUCUUUGGUAUUCAAGCUUAUUGGGCUCAACUUUUCCUCAUACCAUCAAAAUCCUAAAUCUUAUUGAAGCAAUGUGUAGAAGCUUUAUAUGGUCGGGGACAGUGGGUAUCACUAGGAAAGCAUACAUUGCCUGGGACAAAAUGUGCCUGCCAAAGUCAGCUGGUGGACUGAAUCUCACAAACCUCCUGUUGUGGAACAGGACAAAAUGUUCCUGCCAAAGUCAGCUGAUGGACUGAAUCUCACAAACCUCCUGCUGUGGAACAAAGAAGCCAUUGCUAAGCUAUGCUGGGACUUGGCUCACAAGAAGGAUACUUUGUGGGUUAGAUGGAUUCACACAGUAUACAUAAAACAGCAGCAAUUAGAAGUCUUGCCUAUACCCAAGCUAGUUGGAUGGUUCGUAAGAUUAUUGCAGCAAGAGGACUACUGCAGCAAUAUCAGAGUAUGCACAGACCAGUGUGCUCCAUUAGACUAUUAAAACUGCUUCAGAUUGGUCAACUCCCUAGAGUUACUUGGAAGAAUCUAAC